rnacentral:rRNA from 1 species
GGUUUAAAGGGUGCGUAGGCGGUCUUGUAAGUCAGUGGUGAAAUUCCGGGCUCAACCCGGAACGUGCCAUUGAUACUGCAGGACUGGAAUGUGGAUGCCGUUUGGGAAUGUGUGGUGUAGCGGUGAAAUGCAUAGAUAUCACACAGAACACCGAUUGCGAAGGCGCAGACGAAUCCAUGAUUGACGCUGAGGCACGAAAGUGUGGGGAUCAAACAGGAUUAGAUCCCUGGUAGUCCACACAGUAAACGAUGAUGACUCGCUGUCGGCGAUAUACAGUCGGUGGUAAGAGAAAUCGAUAAGUCAUCCACCUGGGGAGUACGACCGCAAGGUUGAAACUCAAAGGAUUGACGGGGGCCCGCACAAGCGGAGGAACAUGUGGUUUAAUUCGAUGAUACGCGAGGAACUUACCCGGGCUCGAACGGCUGGUGAACGACUCAGAGAUGAGGAGGUCCUUCGGGACGCCAUCGAGGUGCUGCAUGGUUGUCGUCAGCUCGUGCCGUGAGGUGUCGGCUUAAGUGCCAUAAGAGCGCAACCCUUGCUGAUAGUUACCAUCAGGUAAUGCUGGGGACUCUAUCAGGACUGCCCCGUAAGGUGAGAGGAAGGGGGGGAUGACGUCAAAUCAGCACGGCCCUUACGUCCGGGGCACACACGUGUUACAAUGGCAGGUACAGAGGGCGGCCAGGCAGCGAUGCCGCGCAAAUCUCAAAGCCUGUCUCAGUUCGGAUUGGAGUCUGCAACUCGACUCCAUGAAGUUGGAUUCGCUAUAAUCGCGCAUCAGCCAUGGCGCGGUGAAUACGUUCCCGGGCCUUGCACACACCGCCCGU